rnacentral:rRNA from 1 species
AUAUCAAUAAGCGGAGGAAAAGAAACUAACAAGGAUUCCCCUAGUAACGGCGAGUGAACCGGGAUGAGCUCAAAUUUGAAAUCUGGCGUCCUCAGGGCGUCCGAGUUGUAAUCUAUAGAGGCGUUUUCCGUGCCGGACCGUGUCCAAGUCCCUUGGAACAGGGUAUCAAAGAGGGUGACAAUCCCGUACUUGACACGACGACCGGUGCUCUGUGAUACGUCUUCUACGAGUCGAGUUGUUUGGGAAUGCAGCUCAAAAUGGGUGGUGAGUUCCAUCUAAAGCUAAAUAUUGGCGAGAGACCGAUAGCGAACAAGUACCGUGAGGGAAAGAUGAAAAGCACUUUGGAAAGAGAGUUAAACAGUACGUGAAAUUGUUGAAAGGGAAACGAUUGAAGUCAGUCGUGACUGUUGGGCUCAGCAGGUUCUGCCUGUGUAUUCCCUUCAGUCGGGUCAACAUCAGUUUUGACCGGUGGAUAAGGGCAGCAGGAAUGUGGCACCCUCGGGUGUGUUAUAGCCUGUCGUCGCAUACAUCGGUCGAGACUGAGGAACGCAGCUCGCCUUUAUGGCCGGGGUUCGCCCACGUCCGAGCUUAGGAUGUUGACAUAAUGGCUUUAAACGAC